GAGUGAUCACAGUUUUUGAGAAUCAUGAUGAGGCAUUAAAGAAGAGGAGGAGUGUCUCAAGGGAGGUGAGCUGGAGGUGAUGCAAGCUCCUGAGAUUCUGAGAGCUGUGCUUCCAUUGUGUCUAGAAAAGCGUCUGGCACAUAUGAGCCUCAGACUCAGGGCUGGGACCCUUGGGACUCAAAAGAGAGAAAAGGUGGAGAAAAGAGAAAGCUACUAUUUUCUUCAUUUUGCCCCUGCUAACAUCCAAUGCACUUAGGAGCCUCGAUGUCUGCUCUCCAAGAGAUGUCUGAUCUGAAAGCAUGUUGUGGUCCGCUACACACAAGAGCAAAAGAAGAGCAGGAAGGAGCUCAGUGCCAAGACCAUAGCCACAGGAAGAAAACCAGCUCUUAGGGCUGCAGCUCUAAAGACAGGCCAGGUCAUUACAGGAACGUCUGCUCCCUUAGCCUUGCCAGACAGAGGAGGGUUAAGAAAGGAACUGCUGACCCUGAUAUGCAAACUGCCACGAGUGCUUCCUGCCUUUCUAUCAGCAUCAGAUGGCUAGCGAUGGAUGGCUGUAAGAUUGAUGUAAUUAACAUUUUAUUUUCAGGGCCACAGUGCUGGUUGGGUGCACCAGACAAAUCAACCAACAGAUUAAAGAGUGAUGGAGAAA
rnacentral:lncRNA from 1 species